GCACUACAAUCACCACAAGCCAUACACCAUUGUACAGAAAUGUACAAUGUAUUCUGAGCUCAAAAAUCAAUGAAAUUGUUGAUGUCAAAUGUUCGAUUUGGUUGUAACCUUAUCAAAGUGACAUUUUUGUAUACUUUGUGUAUUUUUUGAUUUCUUGUUCCGAUUGUGGUAUCAAAGCCUUCAUUGGUAUUACGGCUUCCUUUGAUGGUUGUCUAUUUGUGAAAAAUUCAUUUUCACAACCAGUUCUGAAGAGAUCUUAAUGUUCGGUUUUUCAGAAACCCUAUCUGUUUUAUCCACAAAUCUUACAUUCCUUGGUUUAUACUUUGUUCUGAAGUUUUUUUGUUAACUAUUAUUCAUUUUGAUUGUCUUUUUAGUUUUUUUUGCAGCUCGAGUUGAUGAAUUGAGGGUUCACGAUUAUUCUUGGUUGACCUAAACUGUUCUUGGGGAUUUUCUUGGUUACUGGUAGUCAAAACAAACAACUACCCCUCUUGUUUGAGACUGGUUUUCCUUCAUUAUAUUCAAUUUGUUCGUCCCAAUCUUAUAUGUGAUACUUGUUAUUGUAAAUUGUUGUAAUACUUAAUAGAUCUCCCUGUGCAUAAUAAUAAUAUACGUGUGUAGUAAUUUUUUUUUUUUUUUUUUCGCAUGCAUUUAUUUUGUUCUGUGUGAUACAUUCAUAUUAUCUCUUCUUUUCUUGCUUCAGGUUCUGAUGUCCCAAAUUAAGCCUUGACCUGAGGACAUGAUCUUCACAAAAUCCUGGUGAAUUUAGGCAUUUGGGACUUGAUGUAUAUCACAUUGAUUAUAUAGUUACCUCUUGUUAUUUUUUUAAAGCUUCUUGAUACUUAAUAUUCUGUCUGACUCUAUGUGUUGUCAAACACUAUUUGGUAUCCACUUGUUUUCUGUCGCACAUUGUACUUCAAAUAAUUUUCUUGUGUUGAUUAAGAACUCCAAAUGUCAAGUACUAAUUUUGAACUUGAGGUUUGCAAAAAAUGAAAGGGGUCCUUGUUCAACAGAAAGUCUCAAAUGUCGACCUAUGUUUGACUUCUUGUUUUUAUUAUCACAAAUAAAUUGAGAUUAUUUCUAACAAAUUGUAUUCGAGUGUUGAUAGAGAAUAUUGCAAAUCAAAUUUGAAGAAGGCAAAGUUCGAAACAAAGCGACGAUCGACAUGAAAGUAAAAUCAACGUUGUGAAGAUUGCUAUUGAAAUAAAAGCAUAAGUCUAGCAUGCAAGACAAGAAAAAGAGCCUUAUUGAAGAUAAUAGUCUUAGACUUUUUAAUUUCAUAUGUAAAGGUAAUAUGCUUCAAUAUUGGGCAAUAAAUCUUAAAAGGCUCAAGUGUCAAUUUUAUACUCAAGAAAAAUUAUUUCAACAAAAUACUUAUGCAAGAUAUCUUUCAAGAUAACGAAUUCAAUCUUACAUUAUAAAGUGUCACUUAUCUUUAAAUUAAGUUAAAGACGUUUUUCAAAGUAUUACCUUUGUCAACAUCAUUGAAGAAAAUUUUGAUAGGAAAUUGUCAUAGCGGACGUCCGAUAGGAUCAACAGUAAAAAAAUUUUAACCGUUCUGAAAUACAACGGCUAGUGAAUCACCCAGUACGAUAGCGGACGUCCAGUAUGACAGAUUUUCUAAUAGUUCUACAGCUAUAAAUACCCUUUCACCUCGCAUUCAUUCAUAUACUUUUCUUGAGCAAUAAAGUAGGCAUUUUUUGAUCUUUGCUACCCUAUUUCUCAAUCUUUAAAAGAUCAAAUUAUUUGAUUCUUGAAAAAAAAAUUGAGUAAUCAAAACUUGCAAAUAUUUUCUAUCUCGAUCAAAGUUUUUCAACCAACACU
rnacentral:lncRNA from 1 species